UACGAACUGUGCGAACGUUAUUCGGAAUCACUGGGCUUACAGGGUGCGUAGGCGGCCUUCCAAGUCAGGUGUGAAAUCCCACAGCCCAACUGUGGAACAGCGCUUGAAACUGGUUGGCUUGAGUCAGCUAGAGGUGCACGGAACUUCCGGUGGAGCGGUGAAAUGUGUUGAUAUCGGAAGGAACACCAGAGGCGAAAGCGGUGCACUGGAGCUGGUCUGACGCUGAGGCACGAAAGCCAGGGGAGCGAACGGG
rnacentral:rRNA from 1 species